AUUGAACGCUGGCGGCAUGCUUUACACAUGCAAGUCGAACGGUAACAGGCCUUCGGGCGCUGACGAGUGGCGAACGGGUGAGUAAUGCAUCGGAACGUGCCCAGUCGUGGGGGAUAACGCAGCGAAAGCUGUGCUAAUACCGCAUACGAUCUGCGGAUGAAAGCGGGGGACCUUCGGGCCUCGCGCGAUUGGAGCGGCCGAUGGCAGAUUAGGUAGUUGGUGGGAUAAAAGCUUACCAAGCCGACGAUCUGUAGCUGGUCUGAGAGGACGAUCAGCCACACUGGGACUGAGACACGGCCCAGACUCCUACGGGAGGCAGCAGUGGGGAAUUUUGGACAAUGGGCGCAAGCCUGAUCCAGCAAUGCCGCGUGCAGGAUGAAGGCCUUCGGGUUGUAAACUGCUUUUGUACGGAACGAAAAGCUCUGGGUUAAUACCCUGGGGUCAUGACGGUACCGUAAGAAUAAGCACCGGCUAACUACGUGCCAGCAGCCGCCGUAAGAC
rnacentral:rRNA from 1 species